GAUGAACGCUGGCGGCGUGCCUAAUACAUGCAAGUCGAGCGAACGGACGAGAAGCUUGCUUCUCUGAUGUUAGCGGCGGACGGGUGAGUAACACGUGGAUAACCUACCUAUAAGACUGGGAUAACUUCGGGAAACCGGAGCUAAUACCGGAUAAUAUUUUGAACCGCAUGGUUCAAAAGUGAAAGACGGUCUUGCUGUCACUUAUAGAUGGAUCCGCGCUGCAUUAGCUAGUUGGUAAGGUAACGGCUUACCAAGGCAACGAUGCAUAGCCGACCUGAGAGGGUGAUCGGCUACACUGGAACUGAGACACGGUCCAGACUCCUACGGGAGGCGGCAGUAGGGAAUCUUCCGCAAUGGGCGAAAGCCUGACGGAGCAACGCCGCGUGAGUGAUGAAGGUCUUCGGAUCGUAAAACUCUGUUAUUAGGGAAGAACAUAUGUGUAAGUAACUGUGCACAUCUUGACGGUACCUAAUCAGAAAGCCACGGCUAACUACGUG
rnacentral:rRNA from 1 species